rnacentral:rRNA from 1 species
CCCUUAGAUGUUCUGGGCCGCACGCGUGCUACACUGAGUGGAUCAGCGGGUCAGGUUGCGCGAAAGCGUUUCCUAAUCUUUAAAUCCGCUCGUGAUGGGGAUUGACGGUUGCAAUUUUCUGUCAUGAACGAGGAAUACCUUGUAAGCGCGUGUCAUCAUCCCGCGCUGAAUACGUCCCUGCCCUUUGUACACACCGCCCGUCGCUCCUACCGAUUGAGUGGUCCGGUGAGGCUUUGGGAUCUGAGCGGAAAGAGCGUUUCGCUGUUUCUGCUCGGAAAACUCAGUCGAACCUUAUCAUUUAGAGGAAGGAGAAGUCGUAACA